GUUCAGAUUGCAGGCUGCAACUCGCCUGCAUGAAGUUGGAAUUGCUAGUAAUCGCGAAUCAGAAUGUCGCGGUGAAUACGUUCCCGGGCCUUGUACACACCGCCCGUCACACCAUGAGAGUCGAUAACACCCGAAGCCUGUGAGCUAACCGCAAGGGGGCAGCAGUCGAAGGUGGGGUUGAUGAUUGGGGUGAAGUCGUAACAAGGUAAC
rnacentral:rRNA from 1 species